rnacentral:rRNA from 1 species
GCAAAAGCAUUCAUCAAUUACACUCCCUUUAAUCAAGAACGAAAGUUAGAGUAGCAAAGGCCAUUAGAUGCAGCUGUAGUUUUAACCAUAAACGAUGACAUCUCAGGAUAUCAUUGAUAAUCUUGCUUUUGUCAUGUUUUUGCGCACGCCGUUAAAAAGCGCGCAUGGAACAUGAUAAUGCUCAUGCAGAUUAUGUUCAUUGAGGAUCAGAUUGUGGUAACACAAUCCCUCGCUCGACCAAUGGUGCACUGUGUAGGAAACUAUUUAGAUUUCUGCGUGGAGUGUACAGUAGCAAUACAGAAAUUUAAAAGAAUUGACGGAAGACCGAUCACUGGGAAUGGACCGCACGGCUUAAUUUGACUCAACGCGGGAAAUCUUACCAGGUCAGGACACCGUGAGGAAAGACAGACUGCAGCUCUUUCUUGAUUCUGUGCUUUGUUAUAUGUAGUGCAUGGCCUUUGGGAAGUGAGUGGAUUG